GAUGAAGAACGCAGCGAAAUGCGAUAAGUAGUGUGAAUUGCUGAAUUCAGUGAAUCAUCGAAUCUUUGAACGCACAUUGCGCCCCUUGGUAUCCCGAGGGGCAUGCCUGUUCGAGCGUCAUUUCACCACUCAAGCCUGGCUUGGUGUUGGGCGACGUCCCCUUUGGGGACGCGCCUCGAAACGCUCGGCGGCGUGGCACCGGCUUUAAGCGUAGCAGAAUCUUUCGCUUUGGAAGUCGGGGCCCCGUCUGCCGGAAGACCUACUCGCAAGGUUGACCUCGGAUCAGGCAGGGAUACCCGCUGAACUUAAGCAUAUCAAUAAGCGGAGGA
rnacentral:misc_RNA from 1 species